rnacentral:rRNA from 1 species
AGAGUUUGAUUCUGGCUCAGGAUGAACGCUGGCGGCGUGCAUAACACAUUCAAGUCGAACGGAGAUAGAAGCUCGGUUUUAUCUUAGUGGCGGACGGGUGAGUAACGCGUGAGCAACCUGCCCCUGUGUGCGGGAUAACGUUUGGAAACGGACGCUAAUACCGCAUGAUCCAACGGGACCGCAUGAUCUUGUUGGCAAAGAUAUAUUGCACAGGGAUGGGCUCGCGUCCGAUUAGAUAGUUGGCGGGGCAACGGCCCACCAAGUCGACGAUCGGUAGCCGGACUGAGAGGUUGAACGGCCACAUUGGAACUGAGAAACGGUCCAGACUCCUACGGGAGGCAGCAGUGGGGAAUAUUGGGCAAUGGGCGAAAGCCUGACCCAGCGACGCCGCGUGAAGGAAGACGGUCCUCGGAUUGUAAACUUCUUUUAUGUAGGACGAAGAAAGUGACGGUACUACAUGAAUAAGCCACGGCUAACUACGUGCCAGCCGCCGC